GACGAACGCUGGCGGCGUGCUUAACACAUGCAAGUCGAACGGUGAAGCGCCUUCCUUUUUGGUGGGUGUGGAUGAGUGGCGAACGGGUGAGUAACACGUGAGUAACCUGCCCCCUUCUUCUGGAUAACCGCAUGAAAGUGUGGCUAAUACGGGAUAUUCUGGGUCUGUCGCAUGAUGGGUCUGGGAAAGAUAUUGUUUCGGUGGGGGAUGGGCUCGCGGCCUAUCAGCUUGUUGGUGGGGUGAUGGCCUACCAAGGCGGUGACGGGUAGCCGGCCUGGGAGGGUGGGCGGCCACACUGGGACUGGGACGCGGCCCAGACUCCUACGGGCGGCAGCGGUGGGGAAUAUUGCACAAUGGGCGCAAGCCUGCUGCAGCGCCGCCGCGUGAGGGAUGGAGGCCUUCGGGUUGUGAACCUCUUUCGCCAGUGAAGCAGGCCUGCCUCGUUUGUGGGUGGGUUGACGGUAGCUGGAUAAGAAGCGCCGGCUAACUACGUG
rnacentral:rRNA from 1 species